rnacentral:rRNA from 1 species
UACGGAGGGGACUAGCGUUGUUCGGAAUCACUGGGCGUAAAGCGCACGUAGGCGGAUUGCUAAGUCAGGGGUGAAAUCCUGGAGCUCAACUCCAGAACUGCCUUUGAUACUGGCGAUCUUGAGUCCGGGGAGAGGUGAGUGGAACUGCGAGUGUAGAGGUGAAAUUCGUAGAUAUUCGCAAGAACACCAGUGGCGAAGGCGGCUCACUGGCCCGGUACUGACGCUGAGGUGCGAAAGCGUGGGGAGCAAACAGG